rnacentral:rRNA from 1 species
AACGAACGCUGGCGGCAGGCUUAACACAUGCAAGUCGAACGGUCUCUUCGGAGGCAGUGGCAGACGGGUGAGUAACGCGUGGGAACAUACCUUUCGGUACGGAACAACAGUUGGAAACGACUGCUAAUACCGUAUACGCCCUGAGGGGGAAAGAUUUAUCGCCGAGAGAUUGGCCCGCGUUGGAUUAGCUAGUUGGUGAGGUAACGGCUCACCAAGGCAACGAUCAGUAGCCGACCUGAGAGGGUGAUCGGCCACACUGGAACUGAGACACGGCCCAGACUCCUACGGGAGGCAGCAGUAGGGAAUUUUCGGCAAUGGGGGAAACCCUGACCGAGCAAUGCCGCGUGAACGAUGAAGGUCUUCGGAUUGUAAAGUUCUGUGAUUGGGGAAGAAUGGUAUUCUUAGGGAAUGAGGAGUACAUGACGGUACCCGAUUAGAAAGCCCCGGCUAACUAUGUGCCAGCAGCCGCGGUAAGUACUGACUCA